CCGCUGAACUUAAGCAUAUCAAUAAGCGGAGGAAAAGAAACCAACAGGGAUUGCCCUAGUAACGGCGAGUGAAGCGGCAACAGCUCAAAUUUGAAAUCUGGCUCUUUCAGGGUCCGAGUUGUAAUUUGCAGAGGGCGCUUUGGCUUUGGCAGCGGUCCAAGUUCCUUGGAACAGGACGUCACAGAGGGUGAGAAUCCCGUACGUGGUCGCUAGCUAUUGCCGUGUAAAGCCCCUUCGACGAGUCGAGUUGUUUGGGAAUGCAGCUCUAAAUGGGAGGUAAAUUUCUUCUAAAGCUAAAUACUGGCCAGAGACCGAUAGCGCACAAGUAGAGUGAUCGAAAGAUGAAAAGCACUUUGGAAAGAGAGUCAAACAGCACGUGAAAUUGUUGAAAGGGAAGCGCUUGCAGCCAGACUUGCUUGCAGUUGCUCAUCCGGACUUUUGUCCGGUGCACUCUUCUGCAGGCAGGCCAGCAUCAGUUUGGGCGGUGGGAUAAAGGUCUCUGUCACGUACCUCUCUUCGGGGAGGCCUUAUAGGGGAGACGACAUACCACCAGCCUGGACUGAGGUCCGCGCAUUUGCUAGGAUGCUGGCGUAAUGGCUGUAAGCGGCCCGUCUUGAAACACGGACCAAGGAGUCUAACAUCUAUGCGAGUGUUUGGGUGUCAAGCCCGAACGCGUAAUGAAAGUGAACGGAGGUGGGAACCCGCAAGGGUGCACCAUCGACCGAUCCUGAUGUCUUCGGAAGGAUUUGAGUAAGAGCAUGGCUGUUGGGACCCGAAAGAUGGUGAACUAUGCUUGAAUAGGGUGAAGCCAGAGGAAACUCUGGUGGAGGCUCGCAGCGGUUCUGACGUGCAAAUCGAUCGUCAAAUUUGGGCAUAGGGGCGAAAGACUAAUCGAACUAUCUAGUAGCUGGUUCCUGC
rnacentral:rRNA from 1 species